CACGUAGGGCGCAAGCGUUGUCCGGAAUUAUUGGGCGUAAAGAGCUCGUAGGCGGUCUGUUACGUCUGCUGUGAAAACCCAGGGCUUAACCCUGGGCUUGCAGUGGAUACGGGCAGACUAGAGGCAGGUAGGGGAGAAUGGAAUUCCCGGUGUAGCGGUGAAAUGCGCAGAUAUCGGGAGGAACACCGGUGGCGAAGGCGGUUCUCUGGGCCUGACCUGACGCUGAGGGGCGAAAGCGUGGGGAGCAAACAGG
rnacentral:rRNA from 1 species